rnacentral:pre_miRNA from 1 species
CCAGUACUCCCUCCGUUCGGAAUUAUUUGUCGCGGAAAUGGAUGUAUCUAGACAUAUUUUAGUUCUAGAUACAUCCAUUUUCAAGACAAGUAAUUCCGAACGGAGGGAGUAGGAG